GCCGCCAUCUUCCAGUAAUUCGCCAAAAUGACGAACACAAAGGGAAAGAGGAGAGGCACCCGAUUCGUGUUCUGUAGGCCUUUUAGAAAACAUGGAGUUGUUCCUUUGACCACAUACAUGCGAAUCUACAAGAAAGGUGACAUUGUAGACAUCAAGGGAAUGGGUACUGUUCAAAAAGGCAUGCCCCACAAAUGUUACCAUGCCAAAACUGGAAGAGUCUACAACGUUACCCAGCAUGCUGUUGGAAUUGUUGUAAAUAAACAAGUUAAGGGCAAGAUUCUUGCCAAGAGGAUUAAUGUACAUAUCGAGCACAUUAAGCACUCUAAGAGCCGAGAUAGCUUCCUGAAGCGUGUGAAGGAAAAUGAUCAGAAAAAGAAGGAAGCCAAAGAGAAAGGUACCUGGGUUCAACUGAAGCGACAGCCUGCUCCACCCAGAGAAGCACACUUUGUGAGAACCAAUGGAAAGGAGCCCGAGCUGCCGGAACCUAUUCCUUAUGAAUUCAUGGCAUAAUAGGUAUAGCACACCUGUGAGAAGCAAAAGAAAGGACCUU